rnacentral:misc_RNA from 1 species
GCAAACUUGGUCAUUUAGAGGAAGUAAAAGUCGUAACAAGGUUUCCGUAGGUGAACCUGCGGAAGGAUCAUUACAAGGAAACGGUGCCCCUGUGGCCCGAUUCUCAAACCACUGUGUACCAAACGUUUUGUUGCCUCGGCGGGCCGGACCGGCCCAGCUGGCCCCCCUCCUCGCGAGGGAGCAGCCCGCCGCAGGACACUUCAAAAACCAUUCUGUUCGACGAACGUCUGAUUUUACCUUCGCGAAUGCGAUAAAUACAACUUUCAACAAUGGAUCUCUUGGCUCCGGCAUCGAUGAAGAACGCAGC